AGCGAACGCUGGCGGCAGGCCUAACACAUGCAAGUCGAACGAACUCUUCGGAGUUAGUGGCGGACGGGUGAGUAACACGUGGGAACGUGCCCUUUGGUACGGAAUAACUCAGGGAAACUUGAGCUAAUACCGUAUGUGCCCUUCGGGGGAAAGAUUUAUCGCCAUUGGAGCGGCCCGCGUCUGAUUAGCUAGUUGGUGAGGUAACGGCUCACCAAGGCGACGAUCAGUAGCUGGUUUGAGAGGAUGACCAGCCACAUUGGGACUGAGACACGGCCCAAACUCCUACGGGAGGCAGCAGUGGGGAAUCUUGCGCAAUGGGCGAAAGCUUGACGCAGCCAUGCCGCGUGGAUGAUGAAGGUCUUAGGAUUGUAAAAUCCUUUCACCGGUGAAGAUAAUGACUGUAGCCGGAGAAGAAGCCCCGGCUAACUUCGUGCCAGCAGCCGCAGUAACAC
rnacentral:rRNA from 1 species